ensembl:lncRNA LINC00207 long intergenic non-protein coding RNA 207
AUGCUGAUAGAAAUCGGAACAGCACGGCCUGCAGGGGAUGGGGAGGACAGGCGAUGGAGACGGGGAUCAGAUGGGAGGGUGACCUGGUGAGAGAUUUUCCAGCUGGCAGAAAUGUCCUCUACCUUGAGGGAGGCGUGUGACAUGGGACCCUACCCACUUUACGGAUGAGGAAAUGGAGGCUCGGGAGAUGAAGCUGGCAGACUUCCUCUGGAACUUCCUCUGGACAUCUGGAGGGACGUCCUGUCAGCAGAGCAGGCUGGACUGCUUCACAAAGAGGAUGCAGCCCCACCUCCCAGCGGGAGUCAGUUCUGCUCUGAGACGUGAGGCUCAGAAUCAGAUGAAGACUCCUGCUGCUGCAUCUUGAAGAUAAUGAUGCUGUUGCUCCCGGCUGGAACCACAGCAGUGGCGAUGAGUGAACAGCCAGCAGAGUGGAGCGGCCACACUGAUACAGGUGAGGCUCCAGCACUGCCGCAGCCCAGGGCCAGGCAAAACCGCCUUCCUAUCCCCCGGGAGCCGAGGCCUCCGAGAUCGGCGCUGGGAGGUCGCACAGUGCAGGCAAAUCACACGGACCUCAGAGCAGGGUCCCUGGCCGUGAAAACUCAAAAGACACAGUCUUUAAAAUAAGGACAGAAAACUGUAUUUAGUGCCACAAUAAAGCUGUGUCACAAACUACCCAAAA